GACGAACGCUGGCGGCGUGCUUAACACAUGCAAGUCGAACGGAAAGGCCCUGCUUUUGUGGGGUGCUCGAUUGGCGAACGGGUGCGUAACACGUGAGUAACCUGCCCUUGACUUUGGGAUAACUUCAGGAAACUGGGGCUAAUACCGGAUAGGAGCUCAUGCUGCAUGGUGGGGGUUGGAAAGUUUCGGCGGUUGGGGAUGGACUCGCGGCUUAUCAGCUUGUUGGUGGGGUAGUGGCUUACCAAGGCUUUGACGGAUCGCCGGCCUGAGAGGGUGACCGGCCACAUUGGUACUGAGAUACGGCCCAGACUGCUACGGGAGGCAGCAGUGGGGAAUAUUGCACAAUGGGCGGAAGCCGGAUGCAGCAACGCCGCGUGCGGGAUGACGGUCUUCGGGUUGUAAACCGCUUUCGCCUGUGACGAAGCGUGAGUGACGGUAAUGUGUAAAGAAGCACCGGCUAACUACGUG
rnacentral:rRNA from 1 species